rnacentral:lncRNA from 1 species
UCAUCCAUACAUCGAUUCAUUUGUCCUGAAAGAUUUCUUCCAAAGAUUGACUUUCAGGGCAUAUUUCCAACAGAGCACCGUAGUGGGGCGUAAACUUGUCUUAAGGACAAAGUGUCCAAAACUUGGCUCGAUCGUAUUUUCAGGUUUUUCUAAUCCAUUAUAUCAUGUUCUUUUAACAUUAGUUACUCAUGUGCAUGCAUCACUUUGAUAUAUAAUUGCAUGAAUUAUUUCUUGAUUUUCCAUGUGAUUUAAUAUAGCAAUUAAACCCUAAUUUUUCCAACAAGGGAAAGACUUGGAUAUAGAUACAAAGUUGUAAAUAAUGAGAGGGGACCAACUCAACACGCAAAACAUACCCUGAGAAAAUACUAAUUACCUUAACCCUUUUGUCAACACAUCUUUAGUUUGGAUUACUAGCACUAUGUUGGCAACGGACGACAUAUUCAGUUUGGAUUAACAUAACUAGAUCCGUAUAACCAGUCAAUCAAGAAGUACCUUCAGUUUGGAUUAACGGUAUUACUUCGAGUUUGGUUGGUUAGUUAUCAAAGUCUCAUCCGACGAAGAGUCUUUGAUUCUUUUUCCGAACGAGGACACUUCAUUAGCUUUCCAGCGAGGUGAGGUGUUCAAUGAUUGGUUAUUCCUAGGUGCACUUCAGAGUUCAACAUUCAGAUGAUCAAACAACAUUCAUAGUAAAGACGCUUAUCUUCUUUGAGUAUCUUUGUCCAUACGUACUGAAGGAAAAACUUGAGUAAACUAAGUUUAUUUGAGCAACAUACAUAUAGCAUUCAACAAUUAAAUGGCGAAAGCUAACUCAUAUGCACUAAAAAAAAUUUAAAAAAAUUUACUCAUUUAAUUUAAAGUCUAGUAGUUGUGAACAAAGACUUUAACUCAAAUCAAAGAGAAAGAGUUGAGGUUUCACUUACCUUUGUAGAUUCCUUUUUGUACAAGCAAAGGCUGAUCACCCAAGUGAGAGUGCCUUUAUUCCUUGCCUAUUUGCUCCUUGGAUUCUAGGACUCGGAAGGUUGAAAGGAUUCUCCAAAGCCACCAAAGGUGGAGUCAUCCAAGUUCCGGCACCAAGAAUGAGUGAAAGAAGAAGAUGAGUGACCAUGGAAGAACAAAAUGCUAGCAAAGUUCUCCCAUGGUGGCCAGCCUCUUUGAAGGAAAGAGAGAGAAGUGUUAUCUCUCUUUUGUUCUCAUGAAUCUAACUUCUUUAGAUUAUAUUUUCUUAAUUACAUAUUCCUUAGACUUAUCGCAUAAACGUGUAUAAUUUAAUGAGACAACUUUAAACAACCAUUAGCUUAAACUAGAUUAGUUUAAUAUGUGAAAUAUUCGUAAAGUAUCAACUAAUGAUUGGCUUUAGGGCACAUUUCCAACACAUAAAACUUGAAAUCGAUUUGGCGUACCUAUGUUUUCAUAAAUAUAGUAAUAGUUGCCGAACUUGAUGUAGAAAAUCUGAAAUUAGUAGUGAAUUGCAUAACUUUGUCUUCUGGUUCUAGAACCCUAGGCUAAGAGUUUUCCUUCCUCAGCCGUAGUCACUCAGUGCAUAAGCCGGCGACGCAUUUCACCAUCGUAUCACCAUAUCUAUUCUACUCGCUCGACUGAGCUUGGUCACAAGCACACCCCGCAUUAACAAGAAUGAUGUAGUUAGCUCAGUAGUUACUCAACAUGUACGCUAUGUAGGCUUCGUAAUUUCUAGAGUUAACAGUUUAUAAACAAACAAGCCCUAUAAUUUCCCUUAGACAUCACUUAUUAUUUGAGACAUUGUCAUAGUUAGUAGUCCAACAACGUCACCAUGUAUCUUAUAAGUUGUACAACCAAUAUACCAGUAGAGAAAAAAUUGAUGCUCAACUGUAGCAAUAAGUGAAACAUAAAUUUCUCAAGGUGUCUUCCUUAUGUUCUCUCGCAAUGUGUACGGACGAUCUAUCAAACUCAUAUUUCUCUAGAAUUUUUGUUGAACCCUUGUUUAGCCAAUCACCCUGGCAUAUAGUAGCAACCCUUGAAGACUUUUUAAUUUUUGGUAAUGUACGGUUUUCUCAAUGUGGAAAUAUGAGAUGAUGAAUAAUGAUGGAAAGAUUUAGAGUUUCUAGAAGAUUUUACCGUUCGUGAUUUUGAUGUCUGAAAAACUAUUGAAGUUUUAGUGGUUGCUGCUCAAUGUUAAGCUAUCUACACAGUAAUUAGAGAAGUAAUUUGUCAUAUAAUUAAUUCAAAUUGCUAGUGGUCAGCAAUAUCUUUAACACAACCGAAGAUUAAAAAUGGAAAAAGGGUUUAUGAAGGUCGAUUGGGCUUUAGAGGAUUUCAUGAUUUAAUUGGAGAUUUUAUUUGGUAAAUAAAUCAAAGUCGGUAGCAGAGAAGAAGAAAGUAAAAUCCCGAACAGAGGGGGAGUUUGACAGCACAAUUACGGCUGUGUUGUCUACACACCAAUUAUAAAAAGCGUCACUAAGUACUACAGUCUGGUGGUAUUUCUCUUUAAUUGUAAGUGAGAGGGCUUAGGUUCGAAUCUUGUAGAUAACGAACUCGAUAUAAAAUUAGGUUACUCAUUAUCUGACUUAACCUAACUCAUCCCUUCAUUUAAUAUAAAAUAUAUCGUUAUACUAAAAAAAAUAUUAUUGGCCUAAAAACCGAAAAGCGAGGUCACAACGAGGGUGAUGGUGAAGCUGGUAUUUGGGAGAAGUAUGUAUACGGACUAAAUUGCAUAUUUUGUUAUCUCAUUGGGAUUGUGAAUUACAAACUUAUUUGGUGCUUGAUCGUGGAUUCCAUGUAUUAUGACUCCUAAUUUUUUAGAACUUAAUGGCUCAAGUGUCAGACCAAGAUCUUAAGUACUAAGUUUUUGUUGACUUGUUGGAUUGGUUGCUUAUUCCAUUUGCAUGAUUAAGAGAAUAAAGGUUGAAUCUAAUGCUUUGGUGUUUUAGCAAGUGGCUCUUUACCGCGGUGGUGAAAAAAAGUUGAGUCCUUGCAUAACGGCGUAGGUUCAAAUUCUGUCGGUGGCUAAUCUAACAUCUAAUCUAACAAAAUCUAUCUGUUGACAAAAAAAAUAAAGAAAUGCUUUGGUGUUUUAUUAUUUGUUUAAAUUCUAAUUGAUAGGAUUUUUACCACAAAAGUCAAAAGGGUUAAAAACACCUGAAAUACUUGCAAGAGAAAUAAGGUUAUCGUAGUAUAGAUGGCUCUAGCAAUGUCGUUCUCCACAAGAAUUAUUAAAACAAUUUGUAUUGAACCAAAUCUCAAUUAAUUAUUUAAAAACAAGGUUUUGGAAAAAUUGAUUUAUGACCUAACUUAAGCCACUUACCACUACGACAUAGUGGUAUUCAUCUUCACUAGUAAGUGAGAUGUCUUAGGUUUGAUUCUCACCAAAGGCGAAUUUGAACCACAUUAUUGCUAGCUCAUUGUGAGGCUAACCCCACAUCCUCCCCUUAGUGUAGAUAAUAUCGAUUGUUAAAAAAAAAUAAUAAUAAUAAUAACAAAAAUGAAUUUAAUUAAAAAGAUUA